rnacentral:tRNA from 1 species
UAAAUAAUAGUGUAAUUUGCACACAGGUCUUUGAAACCUGUAGUGAUAGAUUUCUAUCUUGUUUAA